rnacentral:rRNA from 1 species
CCAGACUCCUACGGGAGGCAGCAGUGGGGAAUAUUGCACAAUGGGGGAAACCCUGAUGCAGCGACGCCGCGUGGGUGAAGAAGUAAUUCGUUAUGUAAAGCUCUAUCAGCAGGGAAGAAAAAAUGACGGUACCUGAGUAAGAAGCACCGGCUAAAUACGUGCCAGCAGCCGCGGUAAUACGUAUGGAGCAAGCGUUAUCCGGAUUUACUGGGUGUAAAGGGGGCGCAGUCGGCGAGGCAAGCCAGGAGUGAAAGCCCGGGGCCCAACCCCGGGACUGCUCUUGGAACUGGGUGGCUGGAGUGCAGGAGGGGCAGGCGGAAUUCCUGGUGUAGCGGUGAAAUGCGUAGAUAUCAGGAGGAGCACCGGUGGCGAAGGCGGCCUGCUGGACUGCAACUGACGUUGAGGCGCGAAAGCGUGGGGAGCAAACAGGAUUAGAUACCCCGGUAGC